rnacentral:rRNA from 1 species
CAGUAGCCACGGUAAUACGAAGGGGGCUAGCGUUGUUCGGAAUUACUGGGCGUAAAGCGCACGUAGGCGGACAUUUAAGUCAGGGGUGAAAUCCCGGGGCUCAACCCCGGAACUGCCUUUGAUACUGGGUGUCUAGAGUAUGGAAGAGGUGAGUGGAAUUCCGAGUGUAGAGGUGAAAUUCGUAGAUAUUCGGAGGAACACCAGUGGCGAAGGCGGCUCACUGGUCCAUUACUGACGCUGAGGUGCGAAAGCGUGGGGAGCAAACAGGAUUAGAUACCCGGGUAGUCCCUGUCUCUUAUAC